GUUUUUAAAAGUUUUUAAAAAAUUGUUCCAGGUACUGGGAAGGCUGGGACAGGAGGAUUGCUUGAGUCCAAGAGUUCCGGGCUAUAGUGUGUUAUGCCCAUUGGGUGUCAGCACUAAGUUCGGCAUCAAUAUGGUGACCUCCUGGGAACUGGGGGUGGGGGCAUCAGGUUGCCUAAGAAGGGAUGUGCAGGCCCAGGUUGGAAAAGGAGCAGGUCAGAACUCCCGUGCUGAUCAGUAGUGGGAUCACACCUGUGAGUAGCCACUGCACUCCUGCCUAGACAACAUAGUGAGACCCUGUCUCUA
rfam:Otolemur garnettii contig040184, whole genome shotgun sequence.